UAACCUCCCUCGCUGUGAUGAGACCUUGAGCUUCCACUCCGGUACCCGCACCAUCCACGCCAGCUGCUGUACCACGCCCCUGUGUAACACCUUUUCCCCAGAUCUCCACGUCCUAAGCCAGGCAACCAAUGGGCUGGAAUGUUACAGCUGUGUGGAUGGAGAGGGGUCUGGAAGUGGGUGCUCCGGCAAGGCAAUUUCCACUGUGAAAUGCACAGGCAUCCAUAACAUGUGCUUGGAGGGGGUUGGCAAUAGCCGUAAAGCUGGCAAGGGUUCUGGGCUUGUGACCUUCAAAGGCUGUGCCUCCCCAGCCAUGUGCCAAAGCUCUCUGUUGGC
rnacentral:lncRNA from 1 species